GGAAUAUUGCGCAAUGGGCGAAAGCCUGACGCAGCGACGCCGCGUGAGGGAUGACGGCCUUCGGGUUGUAAACCUCUUUCAGCAGGGACGACACGCAAGUGACGGUACCUGCAGAAGAAGCACCGGCCAACUACGUGCCAGCAGCCGCGGUAAUACGUAGGGUGCAAGCGUUGUCCGGAAUUAUUGGGCGUAAAGAGCUCGUAGGCGGCUUGUCACGUCGACUGUGAAAACCCGGGGCUCAACUCCGGGCCUGCAGUCGAUACGGGCUGGCUUGAGUGCGGUAGGGGAGACUGGAAUUCCUGGUGUAGCGGUGAAAUGCGCAGAUAUCAGGAGGAACACCGGUGGCGAAGGCGGGUCUCUGGGCCGUAACUGACGCUGAGGAGCGAAAGCGUGGGGAGCGAAC
rnacentral:rRNA from 1 species